rnacentral:rRNA from 1 species
UGGGGAAUUUUGGACAAUGGGCGAAAGCCUGAUCCAGCAAUGCCGCGUGUGCGAAGAAGGCCUUCGGGUUGUAAAGCACUUUUGUCCGGAAAGAAAUCCGUCUGGCUAAUACCCGGAUGGGAUGACGGUACCGGAAGAAUAAGCACCGGCUAACUACGUGCCAGCAGCCGCGGUAAUACGUAGGGUGCGAGCGUUAAUCGGAAUUACUGGGCGUAAAGGGUGCGCAGGCGGUCUUGCAAGUCAGAUGUGAAAGCCCCGGGCUUAACCUGGGAAUCGCGUUUGAAACUACAAGACUAGAGUGCAGCAGAGGGGAGUCGAAUUCCAUGUGUAGCAGUGAAAUGCGUAGAGAUGUGGAAGAACACCGAUGGCGAAGGCAGCUCCCUGGGUUGACACUGACGCUCAUGCACGAAAGCGUGGGGAGCAAACA